GCAAGUCGAACGAUCCGUGGUCUUCGGACCACAAUGGAUAGUGGCGCACGGGUGAGUAACGCGUGGGAAUAUGCCUUGGAGUACGGAAUAACCAAUGGAAACGCUGGCUAAUACCGUAUACGCCCUAAGGGGGAAAGAUUUAUCGCUCCAAGAUUAGCCCGCGUCUGAUUAGUUUGUUGGUAGGGUAAUGGCCUACCAAGACUACGAUCAGUAGCUGGUCUGAGAGGAUGACC
rnacentral:rRNA from 1 species